GCUGAACUUAAGCAUAUCAAUAAGCGGAGGAAAAGAAACCAACAGGGAUUGCCUCAGUAACGGCGAGUGAAGCGGCAACAGCUCAAAUUUGAAAUCUGGCUUCGGCCCGAGUUGUAAUUUGUAGAGGAUGCUUCGGCUUACGCACCGGUCUAAGUUCCUUGGAACAGGACGUCACAGAGGGUGAGAAUCCCGUUUGUGGCCGGUGCUUCCGCCAUGUGAAGCUCCUUCGACGAGUCGAGUUGUUUGGGAAUGCAGCUCUAAAUGGGAGGUAAAUUUCUUCUAAAGCUAAAUACCGGCCAGAGACCGAUAGCGCACAAGUAGAGUGAUCGAAAGAUGAAAAGCACUUUGGAAAGAGAGUUAAAAAGUACGUGAAAUUGUUGAAAGGGAAGCGCUUGCGACCAGACUUGCCCGCGGAUGCUCAACCGGUCCUUCGGCCGGUGCACUCUUCCGCGGUCAGGCCAGCAUCAGUUCGGGCGGUCGGAUAAAGGCCUUGGGAAUGUGGCUCUCUUCGGGGAGUGUUAUAGCCCUUGGUGCAAUACGGCCCGCCUGGACUGAGGCCCGCGCUUCGGCUAGGAUGCUGGCGUAAUGGUCGUAAGCGGCCCGUCUUG
rnacentral:rRNA from 1 species